rnacentral:rRNA from 1 species
GACGAACGCUGGCGGCGUGCUUAACACAUGCAAGUCGAGCGGUAAGGCCCCUUCGGGGGUACACGAGCGGCGAACGGGUGAGUAACACGUGGGUGACCUGCCCUCAGCUCUGGGAUAAGCCUGGGAAACUGGGUCUAAUACCGGAUAUGACUCCAUGACGCAUGUCGUGGGGUGGAAAGCCUUGUGCGGCUGGGGAUGGGCCCGCGGCCUAUCAGCUUGUUGGUGGGGUGAUGGCCUACCAAGGCGACGACGGGUAGCCGGCCUGAGAGGGCGACCGGCCACACUGGGACUGAGACACGGCCCAGACUCCUACGGGAGGCAGCAGUGGGGAAUCUUGCGCAAUGGGCGAAAGCCUGACGCAGCGACGCCGCGUGAGGGAUGACGGCCUGGU